CGGGCUGCCGCUGCAAAGCCAACUUUGGAAAAAGUUUUCGGGGGGAGACUUUGCCUUUGAGGUGCCCGGCUCUAGCUUUCCGACUUCGGGACCCUUCCCAGAAAAUGUUGCAAAAAAGCUAAGCCAGCGGGCAGAGGAAGCCGCCGUUAACCCGCAGCGAGAGAAGCGAGAAGACGAGCCAUCGACCGCCGCCUUCUUUUUCCUCUUGGAGGUUGGAGUCCCCUAGGCGCCCCCACACGGCUAGACACCUCCGCUGGUUCGCGACGCAGCCCCCCGGCCGUGGAUGCUCGCUCGGGCUCGGGAUCCGCCCAGGUAGUGGC
rnacentral:other from 1 species